CGCAACCCCUGCUUUCAGUUACCAACGGGUCAUGCCGGGAACUCUGGAGNAGUACUGCCCAGGAGAACGGGGNAGGNAAGGUGGGGAUGACGUCAAGUCAGCAUGGCCUUUAUGCCUGGGGCCACACACGUGCUACAAUGGCCGGUCAAGGGUGCAACCCGCAGGGGGACCAAUCCCAAAAAACCGGCCUCAGUUCAGAUUGAGGUCUGCAACUCGACCUCAUGAAGGCGGAAUCGCUAGUAAUCGCGGAUCAGCACGCCGCGGUGAAUACGUUCCCGGGCCUUGUACACACCGCCCGUCACACCACGAAAGUUUGUUGUACCUGAAGUCGUUGGCGCCAACCGCAAGGAGGCAGACGCCCACGGUUAUGACCGAUGAUUGGGGUGAAGUCGUAACAAGGUAAAGGGCGAAUUCCANCAC
rnacentral:rRNA from 1 species